rnacentral:rRNA from 1 species
UACGUAGGGUGCGAGCGUUAAUCGGAAUUACUGGGCGUAAAGCGUGCGCAGGCGGUGAUGUAAGACCGAUGUGAAAUCCCCGGGCUUAACCUGGGGACUGCAUUGGUGACUGCAUUGCUGGAGUAUGGCAGAGGGGGGUGGAAUUCCACGUGUAGCAGUGAAAUGCGUAGAGAUGUGGAGGAACACCGAUGGCGAAGGCAGCCCCCUGGGCCAAUACUGACGCUCAUGCACGAAAGCGUGGGGAGCAAACAGG